UACGUAGGGUGCGAGCGUUGUCCGGAAUUACUGGGCGUAAAGAGCUCGUAGGUGGUUUGUCGCGUUGUCCGUGAAAACUCACAACUCAAUUGUGGGCGUGCGGGCGAUACGGGCAGACUGGAGUACUGCAGGGGAGACUGGAAUUCCUGGUGUAGCGGUGGAAUGCGCAGAUAUCAGGAGGAACACCGGUGGCGAAGGCGGGUCUCUGGGCCAUAACUGACGCUGAGGAGCGAAAAGCGUGGGGGAGCGAAACAGG
rnacentral:rRNA from 1 species